GGAAGUGGAGCGCUAGGAAGCGCUUCUACUGAGAUGACGUUAGUGACGGCAGCAGCGACAGCCAUCGUUAAUAAACUCGAAACUCGUGUGUUCCCCAAGUGCCGUGUGCGGACAGAAACCCACCCCAGGUUGUUCCCCAGCAGCCCGACCCCCUGGGCAGUGGCUUUCCGGCACCGCUUGCAGAGCUGCACAGAAACAGGACGCAGCUGCUGCAGGAGCUGUCAGUAGGCAGGCAGCACAGGCUGAGCUUGGUCAUGCAAACUCGUCCUGGUUUCCCAACGAAAAUGUGGGGAGGUAUCUUAUCAAACCAUCUGUCUACACGAGGCACCUCUGAACAGAGGCUCUUCUUCCUUUUGGAAAGGAUCAGGAGACAUCCUUUUUCCCUUUCUGCUGAGAUUGUUUGGAGUUCAGUUGCGAAAGCCAAGUGCAAAUGAAAUCAUAAUGGAAAGCAGAUAAAAAGCAAUGAGGGAGAAAACAGAAACGAGAAUCAGUUGCUCAGUUUUGCCAAACCAGACCUAGAGUGGAACAUUAGUCGGAAAAAUAAAUUAUCUUUCAUACAACCUCAAAGAUCAUAAAAAAGCAUUGCCAUAAAAAGCAUUAUGGCAAAGAAACGUCAUUUCCCACACUUUAUUUUUUUGUUGUUUGUUUGUUUCCAGAGGUGACAGCUGCACAAUCAUAGUGUAGGCUGUAACAUCUCAGUGGAUGAAUAAACAGCUCUUUACUGACUCUU